UGGUCAGCAUUCCUUAUAAUGGAAAAGAAGAGUGUUCCUUUUUUCUUUUUCAGUUAUGUCUCCACAAUGGCUCAGAUUCCAGAAGAAAGCAAACAAAGCAUUAAGAGGGACUAGCAGUCACAAACAGUUCUCUUUUAAAAUUGAUCUUAGAUCUAAUUCUAUGUUUAUUUCCUUCUAUAUUUUUCUAAUGAUAUUGGAGUCAUAGACUCUUUGAAUUAGAUUUCUUCUCAUACUGUUACUUAACUUUGAAUUUCUCCAUAUGUUAUUAACAUGCUUAUAUUUGAGGAACUUUACUGAUCAAUUCCUAAGUUUUCUGGUUUCAAUGAUCUGCAAGAGAUUGUGACUUUGUAGAUGUGGGAUGGACCUGAGAGCUUGCAUUUUUAAUAAGCACCCUGUAUGGUUUUGAUACAGGUGAUUCGUCAGUGUAUGCUUUGCAAAAUGCUUACUUUUACGAAUUUGUUACUGCUGUUUUAAAAACUUAUUUGGGGGGCACCUGGGUGGCU